rnacentral:lncRNA from 1 species
AGCCUCACCGUCUAGAACAGUGUAUGGGAAGUAAAAUAAAAUUGAUUUUUUAAAAAUGCAUUAUUUUUAAUUUUUUUAUUAUUUUAGAGACAGAGUCUUGCUAUGUUGCCAAGGCUGGAGUGAAGUCUCAUAAUCAUGGUUCACUGUGAACUCGAUCUCCACAGCUCAAGGGAUCCUCCUGCUUCAGCAUCCCAACUAGCCAGGAAUGCAGAUCAGCCAUAUUCUAACAAUACAUUUCAAAGUACUGCUGACGGAGGCUCCACCUGAAACCUGUUCUCUCAGAUAAGUAUCUUCAUCCCAUUCAUCGUUUCAAGAAAAAUAAAUAAAUAAAUCUUACAGCACGGCAGCAUUUUCAUCUGCUUUGGUUUCAGCCAGAGAUAAACUGUUCCUGCUGCAAAGUAAUUACUAUCAGUCGCCUGGAAAGCAGAAAUUGGGAGACAACAGGCUCCUCUUUCUUGAUAAACAGAUUGUUGGGUAAGGUAUGCACAUGGAUGUGACAAUUCAUUUGGCCAUAGAAAUAGCAGAAAUGAGACGUUUUUAGACAGAUAUUUGGAAGGCAUGAGCAAAUAUCCCCAGGCUUCAUCCAAUUGAGCUCAGAUGAGUCUUUUGCGCUAGGUUUUGAGCUUCUCUAAGUCCCUAGGAUCAGCAGAAAUCUGUAGACCCCCAGGGGUGUACCCUUAAAACAAUACGCAGAAUCAGUACAAUCAUGGCCAACUCCUGGGAAAGCUGGCUCUGUGCCCGAGUCCUUUGCAGCCCCCGCUUUCCUGACCCCACUUCCCAUGUGACUAAGGAAUCAAAAACUUGGCCUAGUUGAUAUGUAAUCCAGGCAAUCAGAAAUUAGAACCGUGCGGCUAGGAAAGAUGAGCAAAAGAUGCUUAGAAACAAGACAAGCAGAAAACAACCUCCCCAGAGCUAUCCUGUGUGGGGAAACCUCCAAAAGCUAGGGAAAGACAGCGUAUGUUUUGUAUGGUCCAGGAGGAGCAAGCUCAUCAUGGCUGCCUGCAAAUGAAGAAAUCAUGUUUCUGUCAUAGCAAAAUGGUUAUGUUUUGGAGUGUUCUGUGAAUGAGACAUGAGAGGGGAAACGCCACCACACAAGUAUUCCUUACAUUCAAUUCUUCAGAGAAGGCUUCAGGGAUCAUUUUCCCAUCUCAAAAAGCAUAAAUUGCCAUUUUAUAGGAGCUUGAGAAGAAUAUUCUAGAAGUGAUUCAGAGCCAGGACAUUUGGGGAUUUGUUUAGGUAAACAUGAAAAUUCUAUCCAUU